rnacentral:rRNA from 1 species
AAAUUGAAGAGUUUGAUCAUGGCUCAGAUUGAACGCUGGCGGCAGGCCUAACACAUGCAAGUCGAACGGUAGCAUAGAGAGCUUGCUCUCGGGUGACGAGUGGCGGACGGGUGAGUAAUGUCUGGGAAACUGCCUGAUGGAGGGGGAUAACUACUGGAAACGGUGGCUAAUACCGCAUAACGUCGCAAGACCAAAGAGGGGGA